rnacentral:tRNA from 1 species
CACUAAGAAGCUAAUCGGGAACAGCGCUAGCCUUUUAAGCUAGAAAUUGGUGGAUCCCUUCCACCCUUAGUGA